rnacentral:lncRNA from 1 species
AAUCCCACGUUUUAUGGAGACGUGAUCUCUGGAGCAGUGUGGUGUUCUUGGCCUUCCUCUCUGAUUAUUCACGGAAUAACUACGAACUGUAUUUUCCAUGGCUGGUGGGUAUAAUGACUAUGGCUGUUUCUUUUGUUGCGCUUCUCCACUGCGUUGUUUGUUUUAAUACCCUUCAUUGUGUUCUUCGCCCUUCGUUGUGUUCUU